UUAUCCGUGGAUAUUUACGCUUGGAGCCAGCACAAGUCCAAGUCGACACCGGGAAAGUUGUGGCGGGACGAAACUCCCUGCACUGGUACAAGGAAGCAGCAAAUAAAAAACAACGAAUGAAAAACACGGCCGACAGAGAAAAGAGAAAGCGAAAAAGCUGCAGAAAUAAAAAACGGUGAAAGUCAGCGGCAAAGCGAUCAACGGACAAUAUAUUCCUGAUCGUCUUGCAUUGUUUUUAUGCAUUGUCCACCGUAGAUUACAAAAAUUAGGCUGUGCAUUCCAUAGUAAUCAAUUGUAUAAUUUUUUUAUGAGUAGUAAUAGCCUAUGAUUAUAAUACAACACAAGCUACCUAUCUCAAGUGGUCCACAACACAACACUGUUAUGCAGCAGUACAAACCCUAUAGAAUUUCCACACUUUUGCUGUUUGGAAAUUCGGUGUAAGAAUUUACAGGAAUCCGUUAAUGAGGUUUUGAUAACAAGGGAAAUAAAGAGGCGCUGAAGACAAGCUAGCUUCUGUGUGUGAUAGGCUGCUCUCUGCAUCGGACCUUGUGAAAUUCUGCAUCAAAACAUAUACCACACUUAUCUGGAGAUAAACGAGGCUGGUCAUAGCAGUAUUGAACGCCAUUGGAGGUUUUUAUUGAAUCGGAGUGGCAUUUUUGCUUGUGGCUGGACAAAAUGGGUAAACAAAACAAAAUGGGGGUUUGAAUCUUUUCAAGCCUAUGAAAGAGUUGGUCAAUAUAAUCAGGCAGGCAGCUUCCUGGUUUAAGUAUGGAAACGCAGGUCAAAAUCAACGAAUCUAUACAAAAAAUAAUGGAUACCAGAACUUGACUGUUUGUGGUGUCAUUCACUUACAAGAUAAUUCUAUUUGACAAAUAUUUUGAAAGGUUUUUCAAAACUUCUUAUGAUGGCGAAGGCCUUGGAGAACUUUGCAUUGAAGUGGAUGAAAUAACUUGUACUGACAAACGCAGCGUGGGAUGCGGCCAAACAACCAUUCCUUACCAUAGCUCUGCAGCUGUGGGCAUAGAUCAUACGAUUAUUGAGGUGACUGAACUCUUUGAGUGGAACAAAGACAAGCCAGCUGUGGCUGUACUUGUAUAUGGAAUAGGUGGAUCUGGGAAAACUAAGCUGGUAGAUGCAGUGAUUGCAUGCUUGAAUCUGGAGGGCUUCCAAAGUUACUUUCAUAAAAAGUAUGGAGUUUCAUCCUAAAAUAGAGGAAUUACAACCUCAGAUUUUGCAGGGUCCAACUGGGACAAAACAAAGUGUAAGAGACUCUCAGGGUGGACAGCAAGUGGUGAAAUCUUUUAUAGAGAGAGAAGUUGUUAUUAUAGAUAUUGACAACAUCAGGAAGAGAACAUCUAGAAAAUCUUCUCCCCAAGCGGAGCACCAGUUCAAAAAAAAUGAGGAUAUCUGGGAUUUUUUAAGGCUGCCGAAUCGAACCCUCUAAAUGGUACUACAUUGAGCCCCUCUCUGUUAAGGCAGGAAUUUAAGUAUUGUGCAGGAAAAUUGACAUAAAGGACAUAGACACCAUAUUGAAAGAAUUCAAGCGGAGGAGAUUGUGGAGAAAUGCAGUUGCUGUCCUCUGUUUUUGGAAGUGGUGGGAGCGUGGGAGCCUAUCUCCAUAAAAGAAAUAACAAGGUUGAAAGUUUAUGUAAAAGUAUUUUGCUGGCUAAGAGUUAGAGAGGAUUUCACCUGUUACCAGGAAGACGGUUUUCAGGAGUACAGAAUUCUGUUUGCUCACCAUGAGCUUAAACUCAUUGUAUAUAGGAGGCAUUCCUAGACAUAUGCUCAUUCUUAUGUGAUUGAGAGUGGGAGGAUGUUACCUGCAUUUUGGGAGAGGAAAAACUUUUUGUCUACUUGAAGGGUGCUCUGGUGAAAAGAAUAGAAGCUAAAGAUGGGUAUCAACAGAGACUAUAAGGAUCCAUGAUCUUAUAUCUACUGCAGGUCUCAAUAAAUUAAAAGACAAUUGAUUCAUGAGUGUCAAUGAUUUUUCUAUGGCAGUUCAGAAUGGAAGAGUAUGAAUCAUGAAGAUUUUAAAUAUAAAUAGUUAAAAAUCAAUUUCUAUAAAUUUCAGUCACCUUGAUAGAUUGGUUUAGGCAUGGUUUCUGGUGUUUGAACGUCUCCAGUAGCCCCGCAAAACUAAAUGAGUUUGGCUAGAAGGCAACGAUGAGCCAUUCCAUGUAGAUGCAGCAGUAGUGGGAGACAUGACAGUUGCGUGGACAAUGCCAUAAAGGAUUUGAUAAGCUGAGGUUUCUUCAAGUGGGAUUGGAACCAAAUUUGGCUACUGAUAUCCUUAAGAUUAAAAAAUUGGACUAUAGUAUCAAGGAAAAUGAAAGUUGGAAUCCACCUAA